AAGAAGGAAAUAUAAAGGUUAUGUGACUGGCUUGAAACUAGUUUAAGGGGGUUCGAUUCCCUCCUUUCUUG
rnacentral:tRNA from 1 species